UGUUAGGUCAAGGUGCAGUGUAAAAAAGAAAAAAAUGGAUUACUUUAAAAAAAAUGAAUGGAUAGUAAAAAUAUAUUUUUAAUGAAAUAGGAUUUAAAAGUAAAUUAAUUAAAAUGAUUUAAUGAAUUAAGAUUCUAAAAUAUGUACACAUUGCCCGUCGCUCUUAUUUAAGGUAAGAUAAGUCGUAACAUAGUAGAUGUACCGGAAGGUGUAUCUGGAUGAAGAGUAAAUAGCUUAAGUUUAAAGUUUAUUUUUUACAUUAAUAAGAUAUUUUAUAAUUUUACUUUAAAUAAAGUUAUAAAAAAGGAUGAGUAAAAAUUUUUUAGUAUAUUACUGUGGAGGGGAGUUCACAUUAAUAUUACUAGAAAUUAUAUUUAUAGUACCUUUNNNNNNNNGGUAAUUAAAAUUAUUUUAUUAGUAAAAUUUCCCGAAAGAAAAAGAUUUAUAUAGUUAUUAUGUUAAUGUAAAAAAAUUAAAUUAAAUAAAAAUAUUGGGUUGAAAUAAAUAUCGAUUUUUUAUAUCUGGUUUCUUUAAUUUUAAUUAAAUUAAUAAUAAUAUUGAUAAUUAAUACUGUUAAAUAAUUUUAAGGAUUAGCUUGAAAUUGAAAUUUAAAGAUUUUUUAUUUUUAAGAUUUUUAAGCUUAAGAUUAGCUUUAUAUUGUAUGUAGUAAUAAAUUUAAUUAUAAUAAAAUUUUAUUUUUUCUUUAAGGGGAGUUAAAGGUUAAAUAAUAAAACAAUUUUAUUAAAAAAAACAUGAUUAAAUUAGUAGAUUUAAAGAAUAAAAAUUAAGAAUUCAGCAAUUUUUUAUUUCGUCUGUUUAACAAAAACAUUUUUGUGAGAAAAUAUUUAUGAUAAGGUCUGCUCAAU
rnacentral:rRNA from 1 species